rnacentral:rRNA from 1 species
UACGUAGGAGGCAAGCGUUGUCCGGAAUCACUGGGCGUAAAGCGCGUGUAGGCGGAUCGCUAAGUCUGUGGUGAAAGCGCCCGGCUUAACCGGGCGAGGUCCAUGGAAACUAGCGGUCUGGAGGCCGGUAGAGGGGGGUGGAAUUCCGGGUGUAGUGGUGAAAUGCGUAGAUAUCUGGAGGAACACCGAUGGCGAAGGCAGGUCUCUGGGCCACUACUGACGCUGAGAAGCGAAAGCAUGGGGAGCGAACAGG